GAGAGUUUUAGAACUCCCAACCAUUGUGAACGAACCGCUGUGCCCAGGCCUAGGUACCUCCCUAAGCCGGCGGCAUGCAAACUCUUGCUUCAGUGGAUAUCUGAGUAACUUGUACAAUAAGUCA
rnacentral:misc_RNA from 1 species